rnacentral:rRNA from 1 species
CCCUUAGAUUUUCUGGGCCGCACGCGCGCUACACUGAUGCAUUCAACGAGUCUAAAACCUGCUCUGAUAGGGGUGGGUAAUCUUUUGAAUGUGCAUCGUGAUUGGGAUAGAUGAUUGCAAUUUUUCAUCUUCAACGAGGAAUGCCUAGUAAACGCAAGUCAUCAGCUUGCAUUGAUUACGUCCCUGCCCUUUGUACACACCGCCCGUCGCUCCUACCGAUUGAAUGAUCCGAUGAAUAUCAUGGAUUGAGGAUGCAAGCAGGUUCGCCUGUCUUCAUCUUCGAGAAGUGAAGUAAAUCUUAUCAUUUAGAGGAAGGAGAAGUCGUAACA